UGAGUACUCCAAAUUGCCUUUUUGAUGUGUUUUGUAUGAAAAUUAUGACGAUGUUACAUUUCACUCCACAUGGUACAUUAGCUUUAGAUAAUUAUAGAGAUUAUGGUUAAAAUUAAUAUUUUACUCUAUGAGUCGAAUGCUCACACCUGUUCAAUAUUUUUUUUCAGGCCACAGGAGGAUAUUUUUUAGAUUAACCUGCUUUCUUCCUCGCAGG
rnacentral:misc_RNA from 1 species